rnacentral:rRNA from 1 species
UGCAGAAUCCCGUGAACCAUCGAGUUUUUGAACGCAAGUUGCGGCCGAAGCCUCUGUGCUUAGGGCACRCCUGCCUGGGCGUCA